rnacentral:rRNA from 1 species
AUUGAACGCUGGCGGCAUGCUUUACACAUGCAAGUCGAACGGCAGCGGGGGCUUCGGCCUGCCGGCGAGUGGCGAACGGGUGAGUAAUGCAUCGGAACGUGCCCAUGUCGUGGGGGAUAACGUAGCGAAAGCUACGCUAAUACCGCAUACGUCCUGCGGGCGAAAGCGGGGGAUCUUCGGACCUCGCGCGAUCGGCGCGGCCGCUGUCGGAUUAGCUAGUAUGUGAGGUAAAGGCUCACCUAGGCGACGAUCCGUAGCGGGUCGGAGAGGAUGAUCCGCCACACUGGGACUGAGACACGGCCCAGACUCCUACGGGAGGCAGCAGUGGGGAAUUUUGGACAAUGGGCGCAAGCCUGAUCCAGCCAUGCCGCGUGAGUGAAGAAGGCCUUCGGGUUGUAAAGCUCUUUCGGCCGGGAAGAAAUCGUGUUCUCUAACAUAGGACAUGGAUGACGGUACCGGACUAAGAAGCACCGGCUAACUACGUGCCAGCCGCCGCCGUAAAAC